ensembl:snRNA U4 U4 spliceosomal RNA
AGCUUUGCACAGUGGCAGUGUCAUAGCCACUGAGGUUUAUCUGAGGCGCGGUUAUUGCUAAUUGAAAACUUCCCAGUUUAUUGCAGCCUGGGAUUGGGUUUUGCACCUGGAACUGUUAAAAAUCAAUAUUUUGU